AAACCCUAGACCCACAUCUUAUCUUCUCCUUCACGAUUCUUCCUUUGCUUGAAGCCUCUGCAAAUCAAUCGAUUCACCAAAGACACCAUUGAUAAGCUACUCAUCCUUCGUUUCUAUUCUGUUUGUUUACAACUCGAUGAUACCGUAUGCACUAAUAUCCUAUUUCUAGUUUUGGUUUUGACUCACAGAAUGUGGAGGAUUUAUCACACAAUUGACCCCUUUUACAAUAAAUUAGACUACUUGAAGCAUGGAUCUUGCUGGGAAAAAAGGCUAAUCUAGAUUAAAGCAAGGCUGAUAUGGAUGAAAGCUAACAGGUUGCACCUGCUGUUUUGAGGGAAGCACUUGCAAAUGAAUAUGGCAUUAAAUUCUUUGAAAUCAUACCUAAGUUGCCAAAUAUAUCAAUUUUCUUCAAGGAUCCAAUUACUUGUCUAAGAUGAAUAAAAAUGAGCACUAAUUAGUUUGUCAUACUGUUUUCUGUAGAGUGCAAAAACUAAUCUAAAUGUGGAGCAACUUUUCUUUUCAAUUGCAAAUGGAUAUCAAGCAGAGGUUUUUCCGACACCACAUCAUAGCUGAGGUAAAUAUAAGUCUAAUAUAUUAAUCCAUGUUUUUUUAUUUGAAUUGUGGUCUUCUAAAAGGGAAAAAAGAGUUUGUAUAUUUAACCACAUUUUUAGACCUAAUAGCUGGCAAUUUCAAGCUAUCUACGUAUUAAUGGUUGGUUCUAGAUUGUUUAAUGAGUCUAAUAAAAGAAUUUAGCUGAAGAGAGGAACAAGUUAAAAGGUUUAAAAGUAGACCAAAAUGUCUUUUAUGAUACAUAGUUGUUCUUAUUCAAAUUUAGUAUUUAGUAAACUAUUAUUUUGUAACACGCACUUUAUUAGAAUGAUAUAUUAACCUUAUAAGUUUAGUUUAUGUUUGGUAUUAAUUGUUGUGUACGUCAAAGGUUUGGAUGUGGAUGCUUUUCACAUCUCCCACAUCAAGGUGAAAUUAGUACAUAAACGGAGAGUGAGAGUCGUGUAUACCGUGCUCAUGCAAGAAACAAUCAUGAGUAAAACAGACAAGGGUUGGUGGAGUAGAUGAUGGUUCUAACGGAUUUGAGUCAAAAUUGGUAAUUUGUUUGUUUUUAAAGUAACGGAAACCUUUGUCUUUUUUUUCUGUAAUUUCACUUUCUUUUCUUAUUGUUGUACGUCACUACUCGCUAGACAGGGCAGCAACACGGUGGGUUAUUACGGGUUGCGACAACAACUAAGUUUUGGGUACAAGAAUAGUGAGGAGGCUGUAAGCUGGCAACAAUGACUAUAUUCUAAUCUUUUAUUGCAGCUUUUUUUUGGAGAUGGAGUGUUUAGUCAUCAGUUUUCGAACUUCGAAAUCAUUCUGUAUUCAUGUUCGAUUUUAAAAUCAAACUCUGCCACCAUCAGCAUUCUCUGUUCAAAUUCCAAAUUAUCAAUUCAUCCCAGUCGAAUUCGAUUUCUCUAUUUUAAAGAAGGCUUCAAUGAAUCUUUAUUUUGUUGAAGGUCGCUGCUGGAGAGUUGUAACGAAAUCGAAGGCCUCUGAUUCAGAAUUUAGAAUGUUGUAGUGGUUCCAUGAACACAUCGCCAAUGUUGCCGGUUUACAUAACAAUUCAAAUAUAACCAUUAAGAUGAUUGGUGGAGGUGAAUGGAAAUUGAAGAUAUUAAUUGAGGUACAAUUCAAAUAUAACCAUUAAGAUGAUUGGUGGAGGUGAAUGGAAAUUGAAGAUAUUAAUUGAAGUACAUUUCGAAACAACAAGGUUUUUUUUAAUUUAUGUGUAGUGUAUGUUUUAUCUUUUAUUUAUUUGUCAUCUCAAAUUAUUAUUUGUUGUUUCUUAUAUGUAUAAUGUCGUCGAUUGGGUUGAUGUCAUGAAACAACGGAUCGUUCCAUGGGGCAAAAUGGCUGUUUUCAAGCUCUAAGAGCCAAAUGAAGCUUUUGUGUGCAGUAUAUCAAGAAAUUUGAUAUCUCGUAAAAUCGUUAUUACCAAUUUUAAUGUUUAGAAAACACUAUUAUCUUUUCUUUAGUAAUUGUGGUACUUUUUUUAUUUAACUAUUUCAACAUUUUCAAUUGU